rnacentral:lncRNA from 1 species
CUCCCACCAGGCCCCUCCCUCAAUGCUGGGGAUUACAAAUCAAGAUGAGAUUUGGGUGGGGACACAAAGCCUGACCAUAUCACAGAGGGAGGAAGAUUGCAGCUCAUCAUGAUGGUUCUUGGGUCUCCCUGCUGGAUAACUUCCACCCACCUUCACUGCCAAAGCAUAUCACAGAGCCACACUUAACUUCUGAGGGGCAACAGGAAGCUGUGGCCCCACCUGGCUAGAGGGAGGAGAGCUUAAAUGAUAAUUGUCCUACUCAUACGACACUAAUCCUUUAUCAAGUCCAAAGAAUGUGGCCCGAUCUGUCCUAAGUACUUGAAUAUUUUUUAUCUGAUCCUCACUGCAAUCCUGGGAAGGAGGUAUAAUCAUCCCCAUUUUAAAAACGAGAUUGCUGAAGUUCAGAGAAACGAGUAAACACUCAAGGUCACAGUUAGUGACCAGGCUUGGAAACAAGGUCUAUCAGACUCUAACACCCACUUGUUUAUAUUACAGUAUGCAGGAUUUUAACCAUUUAUUCCCAUUCAUAUACUUUCAAGCCUAUUUUAUGAAAUGUCCAUCACCUCCCUGCUGAAUCACGUUGAGAUGGGUUGGGUGCUUCCUAUUUCUAAGCCUACAAUGCAGGGACUUUGCUGCUCCAUCCCUCUGAAAGGUGAAAGUCACAAAAGCUUAGCUUCAGGUUCACCUUGAGGUAAAAUUACCGUUUUUCGCCUUCCGAGCUCAGCAGGCUCAUUUACAUGCUUCUUGUGUCUGUGUACAGGGUGGGUGCUGUUAUCAUCCACUGAUCACCUAAUUAUGAAUAAUUUCAUGUGUUUCCAGCUUUUCUGAAACUCCUUGGAAGUGGUUGGCUUGUUGUUUUCAUUAGAUAGAUGUUUUGUAAAUUAACCAACAAGUACAGCAUAAUUUAUACUGAGGGCAAGAGGCACGUACCUCUAAUCACAAGAACCUUAGCACACAUACAUUUCUAUUUAUAUGCACAUAAGUAUGCAGAUGACAUUUGUUUUCUUUUUCAGCUUUUUCACAUUUUGCAUGAAAUAUGCCCUCACAAAACAAGUUGCUGUAGCAACAACAAGUACACAAAUACUUGCAUGUGUUAAAUUAAUAAGGCGAUAUUGGAAGCUGACUUUCCAUCAAGACAGGAACAAGCUUCGGUUCCCAUUGUUUUCCCUAGGAAAUUACUGAGUGGCAUUAAAAAAAAAAACAAUGCAUCAUUAACUGUCGAUAUGAACGUCCACAUUGGAGCUUCCUGUGAGAUCCGUUGUCUGCCAGAAAGCUUAAAAACAAGUCAAGGAGCCUGUUAGUGAGAAGGAGCGUGAAGGAAGUCCCAAUGUGAAGGAUGCAAAAUACAGACUCCGUGUAUCAGUGGUGCGAUCAAAAUCUUCCUCUUCAAGCACAUCAUUAGAACCCAGGCCAUUAAGCUCAUUGAAACUGAGUUUCUUUUCCUAUAAAAUAAAAAUAACGUAGCCUUCACUCCAUUCAGGCUCUCUCAAUCUGUGAUCUAUGAAUCUCAGAGAAAUGCAGUUUCAGUUUUUCCUUUUCAUUUCCGCAAACUAAGUACACAGUGUACUGCAUCUUCUAGGGAGACGUUCUCAAAGAUCCUGAACGUAGCCAUUGACACGCAAAGCAGAAUUUAAUUCGUUAAUUAUUUCAAUGUUUUAUUAAUGAUAGUGUUCACCACACUGUAAACAGAUUUAUCCUUCCAGCUUUAAUUAAAGCUCUUGGGAGUGCUUUCCUCAAAAUAACUGUGACUUUUCUCUGAUUAAAAUGCCAGGAGACAAAAAAAAAAAAAAAAAAAAAAAACAA